CUGCCUCUGGGCUGUGAUCUGCCUCAGGCCCACAGCGUGGGUAACAGGAGGGCCUUCAUACUCCUGACACAAAUGAGGAGAAUCUCUCCUUUUUCUUACUUGAAGGACAGACAUGACUUUGAUUUUCCAUCAUCAGGUGUUUCAUGGCAACCACUUCCAGAAGGUUCAAGCUAUCUUCCUUUUCCAUGAGAUGAUGCAGCAGACCUUCAACCUCUUCAGCACAAAGGACUCAUCUGAUACUUGGGAUGCGACCCUUUUAGACAAAUUCUACACUGAACUUUACCAGCAGCUGAAUGACCUGGAAGCCUGUGUGAUGUAGAAGGUUGGAGUGGAAGAGACUCCCCUGAGGAAUGUGGACUCCAUCCUGGCUGUGAGAAAAUACUUUCAAAGAAUCACUCUUUAUCUGACAAAGAAGAAGUAUAGCCCUUGUUCCUGGGAGGCUGUCAGAGCAGAAAUCAUGAGAUCCUUCUCUUUAUGAACGAACUUGCAGGAAAGAUUAAGGAGGAAGGAAUGAAAACUGGUUCAACAUGGAAAUGAGAAACAUUUCCAUGAUUAAUACAUCAUCUCACACGUUCAUGAAUUCUGCCAUUUCUCAUUUUUGCUAUAUCCAUGACAUGAGUUGAAUCAAAAUUUUAAAAUGUUUUCAGGAAUGUUAAGCAGCAUCAUGUUCAGCUGUACAGGCACUAGUUCCUUACGGAUGAUCAUGCUGAUGGAUCUGUUUAUCUAUUUGUCUAAAUAAUUAUUUAACUAUUUAUACUAUUUAAAAUCUUCUUUUCAUGUAUCAUGUAUUUUUACUUUGUGGUUAAUAUAACAAUACAUGUUCUUUAUAUUUAGUCAAUAUAUUACUUUGCUUUUUUCAUUAAAUUUUUACUAUGG